rnacentral:sRNA from 1 species
GAGGAAUGAUGAAGAGAUGAGAAAUGUGGCAUUGACUUGUAGCUGUAAAGCCCGAACAAUUGGUAAUAUUAACGAUUAUUUGAAAUUGCAACCCAUAUAUAUAUAUAUAUAUAUAUAGUGUGUGUGUGUGUGUGUGUGUGUGUGUGUGUACACUUCUUGUUCACCUUGACCACA